AUUGAACGCUGGCGGCAUGCCUUACACAUGCAAGUCGAACGGUAACAGGUCUUCGGAUGCUGACGAGUGGCGAACGGGUGAGUAUUACAUCGGAACGUACCUUAUUGUGGGGGAUAACGCAGCGAAAGCUGUGCUAAUACCGCAUAAUCCCUUAGGGGGAAAGCGGGGGACCGUAAGGCCUCGCGCAAUUAGAGCGGCCGAUACCUGAUUAGCUAGUUGGUGAGGUAAAGGCUCACCAAGGCGACGAUCAGUAGCUGGUCUGAGAGGGCGAUCAGCCACACUGGGACUGAGACACGGCCCAGACUCCUACGGGAGGCAGCAGUGGGGAAUUUUGGACAAUGGGGGCAACCCUGAUCCAGCAAUGCCGCGUGAGUGAAGAAGGCCUUCGGGUUGUAAAGCUCUUUUGUCAGGGAAGAAACAGCAGCUCUAACACAGUAUGCGAAUGACGGUACCUGAAGAAUAAGCACCGGCUAACUACGUGCCAGCAGCCGCGGUAAAAC
rnacentral:rRNA from 1 species